AGUUGGACUUUUUUCGUCCCCAGCACACCCUUCUUCCUCCAUCAAAUUUACCUAUCCCCAUCAAAACCAGAGAAGAGAUAUAGAUAUACUCCAGCACUCCCUUCUUCCUCAUCAAAUUAACCAAUCCCUUCAAAACCAGAGAAGAGAUAUAGAUAUAUUAGAGAAGAGAUCAAAUUCAAGAAAAACAACAAAAUUACAAGAAGAGAGGAACCCAAUCAAAACCAGAGGAUUUUGA
rnacentral:lncRNA from 1 species